UGGUGGUUUACAAAGUAAUUCA
rnacentral:miRNA from 9 species